rnacentral:rRNA from 1 species
ACAGAGAUAGCUUGCUAUUUGCUGACGAGCGGCGGACGGGUGAGUAAUGCUUGGGAAUAUGCCUUAUGGUGGGGGACAACAGUUGGAAACGACUGCUAAUACCGCAUAACGUCUACGGACCAAAGGGGGGGAUGCUUCGGCACCUCCCGCCAUUUGAUUAGCCCAAGUGAGAUUAGCUAGUAGGUGAGGUAAGAGCUCACCUAGGCGACGAUCUCUAGCUGGUUUGAGAGGAUGAUCAGCCACACUGGGACUGAGACACGGCCCAGACUCCUACGGGAGGCAGCAGUGGGGAAUAUUGCACAAUGGGCGAAAGCCUGAUGCAGCCAUGCCGCGUGUGUGAAGAAGGCCUUCGGGUUGUAAAGCACUUUCAGCGAGGAGGAAAGGUUAGUGGUUAAUAGCCACUAGCUGUGACGUUACUCGCAGAAGAAGCACCGGCUAACUUCGUGCCAGCAGCCGCGGUAAUACGAGGGGUGCAAGCGUUAAUCGGAAUUACUGGGCGUAAAGCGUGCGUAGGUGGUUUGUUAAGCAAGAUGUGAAAGCCCUGGGCUCAACCUGGGAACUGCAUUUUGAACUGGCAAGCUAGAGUUUUGUAGAGGGUAGUGGAAUUUCCAGUGUAGCGGUGAAAUGCGUAGAGAUUG